GGCUCUUCCCCGAGAGGACAGAUAAUGCAGUGAAGAAUCAUUGGCAUGUGAUCAUGGCAAGGAAGCACAGAGAGCAAUUUGCCUAUAGGAGGAGGAAGCCCACCGCUAUUUCUUCCUUAGACUCUCCUCCACUUCCACCUCACGCCCUUGUUUCCAGAAGGAUGGAGCUGAACAUACCCAUCAAUGCUUGCAGUGGUGACUCCUCCACCAUCACCAGCAUCAGAAAUGAGAUUGAAUGUCUCUGGAGUCGUCCCCAUGGAGAUAGAACCUGCGAUCGAUCAUCCUAAUUACUCAACUGCCGAGGCUUUUGCAAGGAGCAACGCUUGGCCACAAGGGGAAGCAGAUCAUGGAAGAGAGAAGAUCAUGAUAGCCUUCAUUGAUUACCUUGGUGUUGGUGCAACAUAGGAGAUAAGGGAGUAGGCAAAGGAAGGGACCAGAGCAGAGCAAAGCAAAGCAAAAGUGAGGAGUAAAAGAUACACAUUUCGAGUCGAUUGCGGAAGAGAAGGGAAAUUUUGUAGUAGCAGCAAACAUAUACUGAGGAGUAAUUUAAGAUGUUAAAAUGACAACCUAUGAUGAUAAAAAAAUAAAUAAAUAAAAUUAAAAGUAUAACAUGUUUAA